GACGAACGCUGGCGGCGUGCCUAAUACAUGCAAGUAGAACGCAGUUGCGAACGGGUGAGUAACGCGUAGGUAACUGCCUCAUAGCGGGGGAUAACUAUUGGCAACGAUAGCUAAUACCGCAUACUGUGAGAUGGACAGGGGGUGUAUUAGGUAGUUGGUGAGGUAAAGGCUCACCAAGGCGAAGUGACAUAGCCGACCUGAGAGGGUGAUCGGCCAAACUGGGACUGAGACACGGCCCAGACUCCUACGGGAGGCAGCAGUAGGGAAUCUUCGGCAAUGGACGGAAGUCUGACCGAGCAACGCCGCGUGAGUGAAGAAGGUUUUCGGAUCGUAAAGCUCUGUUGUUAGAUAAGCCUUCUCUCCCCCCAAAGGGACGGCUAACUACGUGCCAGCAGCCGCGGUAUUUC
rnacentral:rRNA from 1 species